UUUGUAAUUUUAUUUCAAAUAAUCGCACUAUUCGCAUGUUGUUUAAAACCGAUUUAUUGUCUACAUCUAACCCAUUUAACGGCGUAGACGCAACGCUGAAACGCAUACACAUUGACGUAAUUGAUUUUUAAAUACAGUUUUAAAAGUAACGCGACAAAAAUGUCUGCGCGUGCGCGGGCGGCGAUAUUUUCAGAACACUCGCGAGUGGGUGUAGU